rnacentral:rRNA from 1 species
GUGUCAGCCGCCGCGGUAAUACGGAGGGUGCAAGCGUUAAUCGGAAUCACUGGGCGUAAAGCGCGCGUAGGCGGCCAGGUCAGUCAGAUGUGAAAGCCCCGGGCUCAACCUGGGAACUGCAUUUGAUACUGCCGGGCUCGAGUCCGAUAGAGGGGGGUAGAAUUCCAGGUGUAGCGGUGAAAUGCGUAGAUAUCUGGAGGAAUACCGGUGGCGAAGGCGGCCCCCUGGAUCGAGACUGACGCUGAGGUGCGAAAGCGUGGGGAGCAAACAGGAUUAGAAACCCGCGUAGUCC